rnacentral:rRNA from 1 species
CCUACGGGAGGCAGCAGUGGGGAAUAUUGCGCAAUGGGCGAAAGCCUGACGCAGCGACGCCGCGUGAGGGAUGAAGGUCUUCGGAUCGUAAACCUCUGUCAGCAGGGAAGAACGGUCACUGUGCUAAUCAGCAGUGAAUUUACGGUACCUGCAAAGGAAGUACCGGCUAACUCCGUGCCAGCAGCCGCGGUAAUACGGAGGGGGCGAGCGUUAAUCGGAAUUACUGGGCGGAAAGCGCUCGUAGGCGGUAUGUCAAGUCAAGGGGGAAAUCCCCGCGCUCAACGUGGGAGCUGCCUUUGAAACGGGCAAACUGGAGUGGGUGAGAGGAGAGUGGAAUUCGGGGGGUAGGGGGGAAAU